CGUCUGGAAAGGCGCGCGAUACAGGGUGACAGCCCCGUACACAAAAAUGCACAUGCUGUGAGCUCGAUGAGUAGGGCGGGACACGUGGUAUCCUGUCUGAAUAUGGGGGGACCAUCCUCCAAGGCUAAAUACUCCUGACUGACCGAUAGUGAACCAGUACCGUGAGGGAAAGGCGAAAAGAACCCCGGCGAGGGGAGUGAAAAAGAACCUGAAACCGUGUACGUACAAGCAGUGGGAGCACGCUUAGGCGUGUGACUGCGUACCUUUUGUAUAAUGGGUCAGCGACUUAUAUUCUGUAGCAAGGUUAACCGAAUAGGGGAGCCGAAGGGAAACCGAGUCUUAACUGGGCGUUAAGUUGCAGGGUAUAGACCCGAAACCCGGUGAUCUAGCCAUGGGCAGGUUGAAGGUUGGGUAACACUAACUGGAGGACCGAACCGACUAAUGUUGAAAAAUUAGCGGAUGACUUGUGGCUGGGGGUGAAAGGCCAAUCAAACCGGGAGAUAGCUGGUUCUCCCCGAAAGCUAUUUAGGUAGCGCCUCGUGAAUUCAUCUCCGGGGGUAGAGCACUGUUUCGGCAAGGGGGUCAUCCCGACUUACCAACCCGAUGCAAACUGCGAAUACCGGAGAAUGUUAUCACGGGAGACACACGGCGGGUGCUAACGUCCGUCGUGAAGAGGGAAACAACCCAGACCGCCAGCUAAGGUCCCAAAGUCAUGGUUAAGUGGGAAACGAUGUGGGAAGGCCCAGACAGCCAGGAUGUUGGCUUAGAAGCAGCCAUCAUUUAAAGAAAGCGUAAUAGCUCACUGGUCGAGUCGGCCUGCGCGGAAGAUGUAACGGGGCUAAACCAUGCACCGAAGCUGCGGCAGCGACGCUGAUGCGUUGUUGGGUAGGGGAGCGUUCUGUAAGCCUGCGAAGGUGUGCUGUGAGGCAUGCUGGAGGUAUCAGAAGUGCGAAUGCUGACAUAAGUAACGAUAAAGCGGGUGAAAAGCCCGCUCGCCGGAAGACCAAGGGUUCCUGUCCAACGUUAAUCGGGGCAGGGUGAGUCGACCCCUAAGGCGAGGCCGAAAGGCGUAGUCGAUGGGAAACAGGUUAAUAUUCCUGUACUUGGUGUUACUGCGAAGGGGGGACGGAGAAGGCUAUGUUGGCCGGGCGACGGUUGUCCCGGUUUAAGCGUGUAGGCUGGU
rnacentral:rRNA from 1 species